CACGGUAGGGUGCGAGCGUUUGUCCGGAAUUAUUGGGCGUAAAGAGCUCGUAGGCGGUGUGUCGCGUCGGCCGUGAAAACCUGCAGCUUAACUGUGGGCUUGCGGUCGAUACGGGCAUCACUGGAGUCGGCAGGGGAGACUGGAAUUCCUGGUGUAGCGGUGAAAUGCGCAGAUACAGGAGGAACACCGGUGGCGAAGGCGGGGCUCUGGGCCGAUACUGACGCUGGAGGAGCGAAAGCGUGGGAGCGAACAGG
rnacentral:rRNA from 1 species